rnacentral:rRNA from 1 species
AUUGAACGCUGGCGGAAUGCUUUACACAUGCAAGUCGAACGGUAGAGGGGGCAACCCCUCGAGAGUGGCGAACGGGUGAGUAAUAUAUCGGAACGUGCCCAGUCGUGGGGGAUAACGUAGCGAAAGUUACGCUAAUACCGCAUACGAUCUAAGGAUGAAAGCGGGGGAUCGCAAGACCUCGCGCGAUUGGAGCGGCCGAUAUCAGAUUAGGUAGUUGGUGGGGUAAAGGCUCACCAAGCCAACGAUCUGUAGCUGGUCUGAGAGGACGACCAGCCACACUGGAACUGAGACGCGGUCCAGACUCCUGCGGGAGGCAGCAGUGGGGAAUUUUGGACAAUGGACGCAAGUCUGAUCCAGCCAUUCCGCGUGCAGGAUGAAGGCCCUCGGGUUGUAAACUGCUUUUGUACGGAACGAAAAGGUCUCUCUUAAUACGGGGGGCUCAUGACGGUACCGUAAGAAUAAGCACCGGCUAACUACGUGCCAGCAGCCGCAGUAA